CAUGAUCUCGAUGGGUUUAAUAUAUUUUUAAAAUUUAUUACAUUUCUUUGAUAACUUUUCUCGUUAUUUAAUCAGUUUCUUAAUCACCUCUUAGAUUUUAGCUAAGAUCCAGCCAAGGACUCAAACCAUAUUUAAAAUUGAUGACAUUUCAUGAGAGAGCAACAUUUAACAACUUCUAGAUGCUAAGAUCCAGUCAACUUACUCAAACCAAUUAAAAUGAACUUUCCCCCUAUUACUUGACUUUGUUUCUUUUGAUGAUUUUUCUGAUGAUUUCAAAACCCUCACAUCUUAUUUGUGCAUGCAUGCUUUGUGUGGUGUGGCUUGUGGUGAAAUCUCUUCCUCCUCUUCCAAGACAAGUAAGAACUAAUUAAGGAUGCAUCAUCAUCAGUUGACAUGCAUCAUCGUACGUCGCGACACCGCGGCAAUGAUGCUCCUAGUUGCCACCUUCCUCACAGCCUCGACUGUCCACACAAGCCCUCCAACUCCUUCCCCAAACAGCUACACCUCGGCGCUCCACAAGGCUCUGAUGUUCUUCAACGCCCAGCGAUCAGGAAAACUCUCAGACCAUAACCAUGUGUCAUGGAGGGGUGAUUCUUGCCUGACAGAUGGCAAACCCUCCGCCUCCGGUUCUCUGACAAGUGAUCUUGUGGGCGGCUACUACGAUGCCGGAAAUGCCAUCAAGUUCAACUUCCCUAAUUCCUUCGCCAUGACUAUGCUCAGCUGGAGCGUUAUUGAAUACAAUGCGAAAUACGAAGCUGCUGAAGAACUCGCCCACAUUAAAGACGUCAUCAAAUGGGGCACCGAUUACUUCCUCAAGACCUUCAACAAUUCAGCUGAUACCAUUGACAGGAUCGUUUCCCAGGUUGGUUUGGGGAACAUGGAUGGAGGAAAAGACACUACUCCUAACGAUAUAUAUUGCUGGAUGCGUCCUGAAGAUAUAGAUUACACUCGUCCGGUGACCGAAUGCCACGCUUGCUCUGAUCUUGCUGCGGAAAUGGCUGCCUCCCUAGCCGCUGCAUCCAUUGUUUUCAAAGACAACAGAGCCUACUCAAAAAAGCUCGUCCAUGGAGCCAAAACACUCUUCAAAUUUUCAAGGGAUUCGAGAGGCCGUUAUAGUUCUGGUAGCUCGGAUGCAGCACUCUUCUAUAACUCCACCAGUUACUGGGAUGAAUACCUAUGGGCCAGCACUUGGUUGUACUACGCCACAGGCAAUUCCUCUUAUCUUCAGUUGGCAACAACACCUGCUCUUGCCAAACACGCUACCUUCUCCCAGGCGCCUAAUCAAUACUGGCCUAAUCAUGGAGUAUUGAGUUGGGACAAUAAGCUUGUUGGUGCUCAGGUGCUUCUGACCCGUUUGAGGCUACUCUUGAAUCUCAUACGAAACAACUUUGAGGAGAUUUCACAACGAGACCAACACAAUCAUGUGCUCAUACCUACCAGCUUUCACAAUCUUUAACAGAACAAGAGGGGGCUUGAUCCAAUUGAAUCGUGGACAUCUUCGAAGGCCGCGACCUCUUGAGUAUGUAGUCAAUGCAGCCUUCUUAGCCACUGUCUACAGUGAUUAUCUCGAAGCUGCAGACAAACCAGCCGGGUUGCAUUGUGGACCCAACGUCUUCUCUGUUGAUGUCUUGCGAGAUUUUGCUCAAACCCAAAUUGGUUACAUCCUUGGAAAAAAUCCAAAGAAAAUGAGCUAUGUUGUGGGCUUUGGUAACCAUUUUCCGAAACAUGUCCACCAUAGGGGCGCAUCUAUUCCUAAGAAGAAGAUUAAAUACAGUUGUAAAGGUGGGUGGAAAUGGAGGGACAGUUUAAAGCCAAACCCAUAUACAAUUGUUGGCGCCAUGGUUGCUGGUCCGGACAAACAUGACGGCUUCCAUGAUGUUCGUGCUAAUUACAAUUACACCGAGCCUACUCUUGUGGGAAAUGCAGGUUUAGUGGCAGCUCUUGUUGCUUUGUCAGGAGAUCGAACUGAUGGGAUUGACAAAAACACCAUGUUCUCUGCAAUUCCUCCAAUGUUUCCAACUCCACCACCUCCUCCUCUAUCAGCAUCAAAACCAUGAGCGAUGUCGAAGCCGUAAUUGUUCAUGUUCUCAAUGUGUCAUUUUUAAGUUCUACACUGUGAGAGUAGUUUGAAUUUGAAGUAGCCUUUAUCUCAAUAUAUAAUUAUAACUAUGCAAACAUGACUACAAAAGACAUGCAGUGUAGGAAGACAAAUUAUACCCUCAAGAUAAGUACGAUCAGCAGCAUAUAUAUGUAGCUUUGAAAUUUGAUAGUUUUGUUACCCUAGACCAUAGGGGAAUGAAUAGCUAGGAGCUAGGAAAACAGAGAAUGAAAGAUAUAGUACAUUUGAAA